rnacentral:rRNA from 1 species
AUUGAACGCUGGCGGCAGGCUUAACACAUGCAAGUCGAACGAGUGGCGGACGGGUGCGUAAUGUAUGGGGAUCUGCCUGAAGGAGGGGGAUAACUACUGGAAACGGUAGCUAAUCCCGCAUACCAUCAGAUGAACCCAUAUGGGAUUAGCUGUUGGGUGGGGUAACGGCUCACCUAGGCGACGAUCCCUAGCUGGUCUGAGAGGAUGAUCAGCAACACUGGGACUGAGACACGGCCCAGAAUCCGACGGGAGGCAGCAGUGGGGAAUAUUGCACAAUGGGCGCAAGCCUGAUGCAGCCAUGCCGCGUGUAUGAAGAAGGCAUUCGGGUUGUAAAGUACUUUCAGUCGGGAGGCGUUACCGACAGAAGAAGCACCGGCUAACUCCGUGCCAGCGGCCGCGGUAAUAC